rnacentral:lncRNA from 12 species
UUUAAUUAUUAUUAUUAUUUCUAUCGGGGGUUUUGUUUGCUCCGUGCCUUCCGGCUCGUUUGGGGAUUUUUUCGCUUCUUUCAGCUUUUUAUUCGCUUCGUGCCUCUUCGCUGGUUUCGUGCCUUUUUGCGUCUUUCCUUCUUUUUUUUAUUGGUUUCAGCUUCUUGGUUUAUUCUUUCUUUUUUUUUUUUUUUUUUUCCCUGUUUAUUCCAAUUUUUUUGUUUGUUUCGUAUAUUUUCCUUUUUUUUUCUUUUCUUUUCUCUAUUCCCCCCCACUUUUUUUUUUUUUUUUUUUCACCCAAGGGCCUCCCCCCCGCUCCACCAGCCCGUCGGGGCGGCGGGGCCAGAUGCGGCCUCGGCUCAGCCACAUCUUGAACUUUUUAUGAAAAAUGUGGAAAAUAUUUUCCUAGGGAUGAUAGAUUGCCGACCGCAAAUUCGGAGCCCUGAAUUUCGCUCCGCAAAGGGGGAUUUUAAAAAAAAAAUUAAAAUAUAUAUGUGAAAAGGGUGGGGGGAAAAAAAGGGAAAAAUGAGAGGAGAGGAAAAAUCAGGGGGAAAAGGGAAAAGGAGGCAGCUCGGACCUGACCUCCUGGAUUCUCCCGAGGAAUUUGGGAAUUUUGGGGCUCCGCGAGCAGCGGCAGCGCCAAGGCCGAGGCCCGGCGGCUCCAGGGGGUGCGGGUCCUUUUAUCCUUCCAAAAAACCCGAGUAAAUCAACCGCACGCGUUUCCCCCCGCGCAAUCAUUUAUCCUUAAAAUUCCGAUGUCACUUCUCCAAAUCCCCUUCGUCAGGAGAGAAAUUGGGGCCCCUAAAUUACCGGGGAUUGGGAAAUGGGACAGGGAGGGGGGGAGACAGCGAGCGGCGUUUGGGGGGGGAGCCCCACAGCCUCUCCCCGUGAUUUGGGUGUGAUCCCAAAUUUCGGCACGCUGGAGGGAACGCGGAUUGCUGCGCCCCAAAUCCAUGGGUUUCCACAACCAGGCGUCUGGGAAAGCGGGAAUUCCCCCCGUUUCACCCCAAAAGCUGCUCGGGCCCCGCCCGAGGCUGACGCUUUGUUCCCCAGGGGCUCUGGCUGGCACCGAGGGGGGCGCGUACCCCCCAAAAAUGGAGGAGUGGCCCAGCGUGAAGGAGGGGACAGGAGGGGACAGGAGGGGACAGGGAUGUCAUGGACGGCCACAUCAAAUACCGCAGGUGAGGGCUGGGGACACGAGGGGACAGGAGGGGACAGGAGGGGACAGGGAUGUCAUGGACGGCCACAUCAAAUACCGCAGGUGAGGGCUGGGGGGACAGGAAGGGACAGGAGGGGACACGAGGGGACAGAGAUGGUGGCUGGAAUGGGGCAGGG